UAGCAUAUCAAUAAGCGGAGGAAAAGAAACCAACAGGGAUUGCCCUAGUAACGGCGAGUGAAGCGGCAACAGCUCAAAUUUGAAAUCUGGCUCUUUUAGAGUCCGAGUUGUAAUUUGCAGAGGGCGCUUUGGCUUUGGCAGCGGUCCAAGUUCCUUGGAACAGGACGUCACAGAGGGUGAGAAUCCCGUACGUGGUCGCUGGCUAUUGCCGUGUAAAGCCCCUUCGACGAGUCGAGUUGUUUGGGAAUGCAGCUCUAAAUGGGAGGUACAUUUCUUCUAAAGCUAAAUAUUGGCCAGAGACCGAUAGCGCACAAGUAGAGUGAUCGAAAGAUGAAAAGCACUUUGGAAAGAGAGUCAAACAGCACGUGAAAUUGUUGAAAGGGAAGCGCUUGCAGCCAGACUUGCUUGCAGUUGCUCAUCCGGGCUUUUGCCCGGUGCACUCUUCUGUAGGCAGGCCAGCAUCAGUUUGGGCGGUAGGAUAAAGGUCUCUGUCACGUACCUCUCUUCGGGGAGGCCUUAUAGGGGAGACGACAUACUACCAGCCUGGACUGAGGUCCGCGCAUCUGCUAGGAUGCUGGCGUAAUGGCUGUAAGCGGCCCGUCUUGAAACACGGACCAAGGAGUCUAACAUCUAUGCGAGUGUUUGGGUGUCAGCCCGAGCGCGGAAUGAAAGUGAACGGAGGUGGGAACCCGCAAGGGUGCACCAUCGACCGAUCCUGAUGUCUUCGGAAGGAUUUGAGUAAGAGCAUGGCUGUUGGGACCCGAAAGAUGGUGAACUAUGCUUGAAUAGGGUGAAGCCAGAGGAAACUCUGGUGGAGGCUCGCAGCGGUUCUGACGUGCAAAUCGAUCGUCAAAUUUGGGCAUAGGGGCGAAAGACUAAUCGAACUAUCUAGUAGCUGGUUCCUGCCGAAGUUUCCCUCAGGAUAGCAGUAACGUAUUCAGUUUUAUGAGGUAAAGCGAAUGAUUAGAGGCCUGGGGGUUGAAACAACCUUCACCUAUUCUCAAACUUUAAAUAUGUAAGAAGUCCUUGUUACUUAAUUGAACGUGGACAGUUGAAUGAAACGUUAUUAGUGGGCCAUUUUUGGUAAGCAGAACUGGCGAUGCGGGAUGAACCGAACGAGGGGUUAAAGUGCCAGAAUAUACGCUCAUCAGACACCACAAAAGGUGUUGGUUCAUCUAGACAGCAGGACGGUGGCCAUGGAAGUCGGAAUCCGCUAAGGAGUGUGUAACAACUCACCUGCCGAAUGAACUAGCCCUGAAAAUGGAUGGCGCUCAAGCGUGUUACUUAUACCCCUCCGCUGGGGCAAAAUUUACGCCCCAGCGAGUAGGCAGGCGUGGAGGUCCGUGACGAAGCCUUGGGGGUGACCCC
rnacentral:rRNA from 1 species